GUCGCGGUGGCGGAACUGGAAUACGCGUGCGUCUCAGAAGCGCAUCCCGCAAGGGUUGAGGGUUCGACUCCCUCCCGCGGCACAA
rnacentral:tRNA from 5 species